AUGACCUAUGAAUUGACAGACUGUGUCUUCUAAAUUUGUCUGUCACUUCUGUAGGCCAAUA
rnacentral:pre_miRNA from 1 species